CAUGCUUUGAUGUCGCAGAGA
rnacentral:siRNA from 1 species